CAGUAUUGGUAGUAUGAACAGCAAAAACUGAACCAUUACCAGCUGUAUUACUAAGAUUUACAGACACGAUCGUGGGGAAAUUUGUUAUUUAUUAGAGGUUCCGGAUGGGGGGGGUGUCAAUAUUAUACAGAAAAUGAGUCACUCAAUGAUAAUGAUUGUAUGUCGGCCAAAAUAUGUUCUUUCACCGAUCAAGGUAUGAAGACAAUGCACAGUGCCCUAGAAUGUGUUCAUGAUGAUGUUAACACAUUUGAAGUAGAUUUGACAUGCGGAGUUCAAUUUCACCAAUAUGAUAUAUUUUCAAGUUUCGAUUCUAUUUUUCAUGGUGUAUAUGUAGGUAAACAGUAGAAUCCCGUUGGUUUUAACUCGUUUGGCUUGAAAUCCUCGUUGGCCCGAAAUUGUUUCAUUAUGCUGAAGGUAAGCAUUCCCACUUGGCUCGAAUUUUCCGAGGCUCGAGGUAUUUUCGCUGGUCCGUAUGCGUUCGAGCCAAUUGGGCUCAAUUGUACUAACGAAUGUUAUAAACAACAUACAGUGAGCAACGGCAAAGCUUUUAAAAUAAAUAAUUAAAAGAGUGUCCGUAUCUUUUAUAAAAUGCGAAAUCAAUCAAGCUUCCAUUGUAAAAUCAAUAUCUAUACGCUUAGUUAAGCAUACCCAGGAAAACAUUUAAAUAAAAAGUGAUAGUAAGGUAAUGCAAAAAUUCAAAAAAUAUUUUUCAUAAUGUUCUUCUUCAGAGACGAGUACGACAUGGAUAAGUCCGAUUUUGAUGUGACUCGGCCCGACAGUGAACUACUCCCUGAAAACCACGAAAAGUAAGUUGAUUAUCUUUUUUUAUCUAUGUAAUAUCUGUAGAAAGAAUAGCCAUAAGACACUACCAUUCAAAUUAAAUAUUCACGGACAUUGAAAAUAUAUUAUCGACGGAAAAUGAAAAUAAAUAUAUUUAUCACGGCAUAUCACUGCAAGACGAGACGGUGGUUGACUUGCCAGUCCAGAGAACGCACCAAUCACUUACGAGAUGGUCGAGGGCGGUUCGGAUCGUGGCUGUUUGAAGCUGGUGUCGUCGGACGGUUACGCCUACGUAAAGAAAAGGACGGGACGGUUGACUGGCGUUGGAGCGUCAGAGGGAAAGACAGUGGCUGUCCAGCUACGGUGAAACAGCGUGGGUCUGAAUAUCGAGUCGCCGGGGAGCCCACAACCAUGAGCCUAAGCCCGGGGGCUCUUGACCGCCAUCAAAAUAAAGACCGAGAAGGUAAAAGCGGUGGCCAGACAAUAGGUGUUUGAGACGGCGAACGUGUUAGUGCGGGACAUAACUGUCAAACACCAGGGCCCAGAGCAGCCCGAGGCAGCCAGACCGAGUCUUGAAGCCCUGCACAAGAUGUGCAAUCAAUAGGACGAGGAAGAGGAUACGUCCACAUGAACCUGAUUGCGCCGAUUUUGAGUUUAUAGAUCGACAUGGACUUCCUCGCUGGGCUAAGAGAGGAGUUCUACCGAGUAAUGGUCCCGGCUAGUGCAAGGCGCCACGUCGUAUUCGCCACAAAGAAACAAC